rnacentral:rRNA from 1 species
GACGUAGGGGGCCAGCGUUGUUCGGAAUUACUGGGUGUAAAGGGUUCGUAGGCGGUGCGGCAAGUCGGGAGUGAAAUCUCUGGGCUUAACCCAGAGGCUGCUUCCGAAACUGCUGUGCUUGAGUGUGGGAGAGGCGCGUGGAAUUGCAGGUGUAGCGGUGAAAUGCGUAGAGAUCUGCAAGAAUACCCGUGGCGAAGGCGGCCAGCUGGGCCGGUUCUGACGCUGAGGCGCGAAAGCGUGGGGAGCAAACAGG